rnacentral:rRNA from 1 species
CCUACGGGUGGCAGCAGUGGGGAAUAUUGCGCAAUGGGCGUAAGCCUGACGCAGCGACGCCGCGUGAGGGAUGAAGGUCUUCGGAUCGUAAACCUCUGUCAGCAGGGAAGAACGGUCACUGUGCUAAUCAGCAGUGAAUUGACGGUACCUGCAAAGGAAGCACCGGCUAACUCCGUGCCAGCAGCCGCGUUAAUACGGAGGGUGCGAGCGUUAAUCGGAAUUACUGGGCGGAAAGCGCUCGUAGGCGGUAUGUCAAGUCAGAGGUGAAAUCCCCGCGCUCAACGUGGGAACUGCCUUUGAAACUGGCAAACUGGAGUGUGUGAGAGGAUAGUGGAAUUCCAGGUGUAGGAGUGAAAUGCGUAGAUAUCAGGAGGAACAUCAGUGGCGAAGGCGACUAUCUGGCACAUAACUGACGCUGAGGAGCGAAAGCGUGGGUAGCAAACAGGAUUAGAUACCCCUGUAGUC